UUUGGAUCAUGCCCCAUAUCAGAAUGUGACCUUUCAGGGCUCCUAUUUACCUCAAUCACAAAUUUCAAAGUUUUUCUAGAGUCCUGGAUUAACUAUCUGGAUGUUAUCUGAAUAGAAAUACUUUUAAUGCCUCAGAAAGUUGCCAGGACCAACACUACACCUCUGUCCCUCUCCCAGUGGUGCCCAUCCCACCCCAGCUCCAGGAGAGCACGGCUGAGGCUGAGUGGAGCUGAGUGGAGCUGGAAGGAGCCGAGCCCAGAGGAGCAGAGCAGUCUCAAUGCAGAAAAUCUGUUCUUCUGGGGGAGAGUUCUUUGUUGUUUUUGUUGUCUUGGGCUCAAGGAAGGGGAACACCAACUGCAGAGAGCACCCACCAAGUUGUAUUUGUCUCAGGAAUAACAGCGUGUCGCUGCAGAGCUGCAGGAUUAGCUGCUAUCUUGGUUUUUGUCUUGUCAGCCAUGUGGAACUGAAUUAACAUGGCGAACACCUUUUUGUCUGUAAAUCAUCUCUUUUGUUAUUAAUACUGUUUCUGCUAUUAGACAUUUCUUGUUCCAUUCCUGUUUGUUUUUAGUAAAUUAUCAUCUCAAGCCACGGCCUCUGCCUUUGUCCCUCUCUCACCAGAUGGAGUGCAUGGGAAAGGGGAGCAGCUUCUUUUGAGUUAAAUUCCCAACUGGUUUUAAACCACCUCAUGGUCCAGUCCUGGUAUUCUGAGAAUUCAGAUUUUCUAUUAAAAUGCUCAGUGUUCUAGCUGUACUGCUAAAGUAAGAUUAAGUUUCUUAGUUGAUGUUCGACUUUUAGCAAGUGCCAUCAACACAGCCCUGUAAGACUCUCUAUUUCUUUGUACAGGAAAAUCUGUAGACAGGUGAAAUUGUCGAGGCAUCCUAAGUUAGUGUGUUUAUAGAGAAGACCACAAUUACUGAGAAAGUGAUAGGACUCAAUACUGUCCUACAUCCUUGAUGGAUGCAUCAAAAAUGACCAAGCACUGCUGCAACCAAGUGCUGGCAAAUUUCAUAUCUGGUUGGGUGACAAAGCACUCUGCAUUUUCACCCUUAACUUGCAGCUGCAGUAUUUUGAGCAGUGGUGUCAGCAGAUCACACAGGUUAAACAACCUUGCAGUUUCCUGAGGGUUGCCUCAUGGAGGACAGCUGCUGGGGAUUUUUUUGCUAAAAUAUUUUCCAAUCAUUUUCUCAGUAUCUCUGGGGAUUAUUUGCCUCAGUUCUUUUUAUGUGCAAUACUGCUUUUGGUAUCUGUCAUAUUCUAAACCACCCCAUUCAGCCUCACAAUAACACUAUAAGCAAAAGGGAAGAGUUUCUAGAGAUAAUAAUAUCCUUUUUUUGUUACUAACACUAUUUUAGGUCAUGUAUUUAAUGGUGCCAGAAAUCAAGUUUUGGACUCUUAAAUAUCUUCAAGGAACUGGACAAAAGGGGGGAAAAAUAUGGAGAUAUGUAUAUCACUUUUUCAAGUGCUUUUUCUGCUUUUCAUGGGCAAGGAUACCUGUUUUCAGGAAAAACAGAAGCCUCUGUGCAAAAAAAUGGAUUUAGAUGGAUCUUACAUAAAAAUGCAGUGGGUGAAUGCCAGGCAGAAUGAUUACCUGAUUUUGUACCUCUGCCCUAUCAGAGAACUCUCUGUGCAGGAAGAGCUGAAGAGAAUCAUGGACACUGUGACUGGCAGAUAAGACUUUAUUUUCCAGUGUGUUGCUUCAACAAAAUGUAGCUGUCAUUCUUCAGUGAAUUUAAAUGAGAAUGAACAUGUGAACCUUUAUAGGUCUCAGUAAGCUGUAGCCUGUUGCUGCUACUGCACUUUGAAUCUUCUGUGAAUAUGCACAAUAUGGAAAGAACAUUUUAGAAACUUAGAAAAAAAAUCCAGAGAGAAGAAUUAGAGGCUGUGAAUAUGAGACAAGAUUAAGACAAUUUAAUAUACUAUGCUGCUGCUUGAAGGAAAUACUAUAAAGAGUGAUAUAACUGCAUAAAAAUACAUCAGAGGUAAAGAAUGAGAGUUACAGAGGUUAUUAUAACAUUAUUUACUGUAGUGUCUCCUUUACCAUCAACAUAGGCUAUUAACUCUGAGAAAUAUAAAUUCAGUAGAAAAAAAAUCUGUAAAAAUCUGGAAAUUGAAUAUACUGUAGCAGAAUACUUAGGCAAUAUUUUUGGAAAUAACUUUAAAGGGUAAGACUUUUAGUGCUUCAUCUUGCACCAUUAAUAUCUUUGGGGAUCUAAAAAGUGACUUGAAUAAAAAAUAGAUAGGGCCCUUCAGGCAGCAGUCUGAGCAAGCCAAAGAAGCAAUUAAUAUGUGAGUUUCAUUUGCAUUAAAGAUAUUUUAAGGGCUGUGUGUGAAUAUCAGAGAAAGGAUUAGAAUGGGAAAUCCUGAUUUUUCUGUAGAGGUAGCUGACCUCAAAGGUUUCCAAACUGACUUACAUCAAGUGUUUUAAAAUUUUCAGGCAAGGGUUUCUCUCUUCUGGAGAUUGAGCAGAUCAGUUACUCAUUGUGUUCUGUAUGUUAUGGCUGCUACAAGCUGUUGGUGCUGUCUCCUGUCAGAUAUGCCACAGGUAAAGGAGGCUUCUUGUUGCAACUUAACUGUAGUUAGUGCACAAGAAUAAAGCUGAUACAUUAAAAGCUGAUACAUUGGCUGCAAAAUGGCUUGUUUCUAUAAACAUUACCUUGUGACAGACCAUUUUCCUCUAGGUUUUUUUACAGCCUUAGGUGUUUCUGCAGCCAAAAUGCCUGCUACAGAACAAUAAAGCUGCUGUACAAGGGUACACUAUCAAGAAAAUACACACGAUUUAAAUGGGUUGUUUUCUUUGUGACAGAAAUUUCAUUUGAAACAUUUGCUAAUUUUGCAUUCUAUACUGUUCUCAUAAACUGUCAUCAUUUCAGAGCACAGCUUAUAACCUAAUUUAAAUAACUCUAGUUCUAAGAUUUAUGGUGCAAAACUGGUUUGAAUAAUACUCAAACUACAUUAAGACUGAAUUUUCCAAACAUACAAAAUGCUGACCCUUCUUGUGACUCGGUGGAAGUUUUUGGGUGGCAUUAGCUGUAUUGGUAGUUUGUAACAUAGUGUGCAGCUGUGGAAAUUGUUAUCUCUGGGUGCUGUGGUUGCUAAAAGCUUACACAUUUCACAGGACAAUUGGAAAAAUUAAUGGCAUAGAAACCUCCUGUAGGUUGUAAUAUACUGACAAGCCAUUCUGGAAGAAGAAAUUCCUAAGCUGCACAUUAUUCAAAGCUAAUAUAGUCCUCAGUAGAAAUGUCCUUGCCUUCAUUUUACACUUGACUCUAGGCAUUCAUUUUGGUCAUUGAGAAAAGAUUUCAUGCUAGGUGCAGUGAGUAUCACUGCUGUCCUGAGUGAAAAACCUUCAUCAAUAAAAGCUACUCACUUUGGUCUUUGUGUAUGCCUGCAGCUCUCAGGUAUUUAUCUGUCUAACUCUGUGUACAAUUCUGUUCCAGUCCUUACGUUGUAAGGUGUCUUGAGAGCUCUUAUGUUAACAAGUGGGAGACUGAUUUUACAGUGUAUGCACAAACAGAACCUGGUGAAUGACCUGUUCAUUCAGGCUGUUGAAAUGCACUGAAUAUUUUCCUUCUGUGAUGAAAAUAAUUGUAUGUGAACAACUCUUAUCUGCAUACAAUUCUGAUGGAUGCUUAAAUGCUUCUGUCUCAGGAUCUGUACUGUAAUGUGUUCUGUGUCCAUGUCUAUAAUAUAAACAGCAUUGCAUAUACUUUUUUUGGAAUUUUUGGAGGACACUAGUUAGCAUUCGGGAGAAGGUUAGUGCCAUGAAAUCUAGCCAGGUGCCACUCAGAUCAAACAAUGUAUACACUUCCCGAAAUUAAUAGAAGAAAAAAAAAGAAGAAAUAGUGCUGCAACAUAAUACUGACAGUAGUCCAUGAACAGAUCACAUAAAUAAACUACACUGUAAAAGGCAGUAAAAGAAAAGGCAACUUCUUAAUCAGAUUUCUUCAUUGGAAACAAUUUUUCUGCCAGCUGAACAGUGUUAUCCCUUAGACAUAUCACAUUAUUUACACUUCUCUAGGAAGAAUAUUCCCUCUAGCUGACCUUCAUGCACUUAUGUAUCCAUUAAUUAUUUCCUUUGCGCUUUGUCAAAGGACAUAAAUUGCUUCUGCAUUUGAAAUUAAAUAGGAAAGGGACCAUUUCCUAUUUAAUAUUAUAUCUUAAUUUUUAGAUAUUCUUAAGAAUUUUUUUCCAAACACUUCCAGAAUGAAGUCCCUUUCAAAGCAGAUUUAUGUUCUGCUGACUCUGCCUCAAAAUUACAUAACCAUUCUUAAAAUUAUUUGCAAUCAUAUAAGACCAAACAUGAAAAGAAAUUCCUAAGAAUAGUUCAUUUAACUGCAAAUUAAAGCUUUCUAAAGCUGGUAACACAAUGAAAAGCUCUCUUGAGCCUAGUUCUGUUAUUCUUACACUGAGCAGCACCUUACUCUAUGAGCAAAUCCAUAUGAUUUCUUUUCACCAUUGUGUUCUCUAUUUCAUACUUAUUAAAUUGACCAAAUUCAGUAUGUAAUGAUUAAAGUCUUUUAUCAGAGCAAGGUUUGCUGUAGGUUCUUUGCUAGAGAUAAUUUCAUUUGACCUGCACAACCUGGAAAGGAAUGAAAAUAUGUUUAGUAAGUUAUGUUGCAUAUUUAAAUAUAACUUGCAUAUGUAAAGUUACAACACUUAAAUUGCAUAGAAUCACAGAAACAUAUGAUGAGGAAAGACCUGAAUUAUAUUACCGAGUCUAUCCUUAGGCCUAAGUAUAAUAUGCUUUAUGUAUUUCAUUAUUAAUAGACAUCUGAUUAGACUUUCCUGUAAGAUGAACAUUUUCUGAGGUUCCCAUGAUGCCCUAAAGCAAUCUACCACUAGUGUUACCAGAUUUUAUCUCUAUGAAUUAUUAUUCUAUAUAUCAGUUUGUGUCAGUUUAUUCUUGUCCAAACUGUCAAGAACACAGCUCUGAGGAUACACUUUAAAACAAUUUUAAUAUUUAUUUGAGGAGUAUUAUUUCUCCAAUACCACCCCAAUUUUACAGGUCAUACUCUCCUUUGAAUUCUCUUUAAACUGAAAUCAACAACUUUAAGUCUUUAAGUCUUCCUCACUGCUCAUGUUCUCCAGAACUCUGAUCUUUCCUGUGAAGUCUAUUCUAUUAAUCUCAACCUUUAUGGGCACAGGAAGCCAAAACGAAACAGAGGUUAGUGCAGUGCUGAAUAAUGGAGAAGGAUUUCCUACAAGAUACACUUGGCUCAGACAGCCUGAUAUGGAAUUCUUGUGUUUCAGAAAAGUGUGCUAUUUCAGCCUGUCAUAUUUUAUAUAUGUAUUUUAUAGAUUUUGGAGAACUUCAUAAAAUAAUAAAGCCAUUAGGUGAAAAACAGAUGUCAUUUUAUAUGAAACUGUCUCCAUUAUUAAGUCAGAUGCUGUGCCCAGUCCUGAGGAUGUUCUGGUCAAUUUAUACUCUCAACCCCUUCCACUGUGUUCACACUCAAUAUUUAAGAGAGAAAUACAAGAUUCAGAGUGAUUAUUUUGUCAAUUAUGGCACUUGAGCACCACAGAGGUAAUAAAAUGCUGUACAGAGAUCAAUUUAUGGACAAGAAAUAGGUUAAAGUUCAGCCCAACAAAAGGCAGGUUAAAAAUAGAAAGUGAAGCAUAUUGAAGAGUUAACGUGGCACUCACUUCCUUUUAAAAAAGAUAUAUAACCAUCAUAGCAUUAUUUAGGAAUGUUCUCAUCAUUUUUUCUGUUUUUUAGAAGUUCAUCUUCUAAAAUGUUUUUUAUCUCCUCUAAUUUCAGACUUCUGUAAAUUGGACAUCUAAUUUCAAAUUAUAUACUUUCGGCUUCUUAAUUAACGAUGGGAAGAUCAAAGCACCUGUGAGGAUCAAUUCAAUUAUUCUAAACCAUCAUUUGAAGGGAACUCGAACUGGUAUCUGUAAAUUCCUGUUUCUUCACACAGAAUAAACCCAUGGCAAUCUCAUACCACCUGUUUUGCCUUAGACAACAUUCCUUGACAUACCUAUGUGAGAUGAAGCCAAGUCAAAAUUUCAGUCCGGUCAGAUUAAGUGGUUUUAAACAACCCAUAGCCUCAACUACUAACAAGAUAGAGGGCAGUUUAGAAUGUUGACUUGAAGAAAUUAAAUUGAAUUUGGCUUUCUGUUAAAUACACAGUCUUUUUGAUACAGAUGCAGUCAUAUCAGAAGAUAUUAACAUCCUAGUCUUGUAAAUUUAGAUCAGCAAACUGAGACAAAGAGUAAACAACAAUUAACUCUAUUUUAUUAAGAGUUCAAUCUACCAAAAUACCACAUAUUUUUGUCAUGGCACUUUAAUGGCCUUUAGUGGAUUUGAAGAAAAAAUAAGAUAUUAUUUGAGAUGAUUGCUUGCUUGAACUUCAGUAAAUGAAACAGCAGUUCUUUGAGUACCAAUCUGCUGUUUGUAGAUCACUGCGACAGCAUGAUUGGAAAUGUAUCAUCUUUGCUGCUUUGAAGUUUUAAUGGCAUCUCUUUCAUUUAUGUCAUUAAAUAUAGAUGUUGCAGAAGGUUAAAGCCCUUUGUGAUAUCUUAUUUGAAAAAGUGUUUUGCAGCUAGGGAUCUGUUUAUGAAUAUAUUUGGACAAUGCAUUUACAUUUUAUUUCAUGAUAAGUUUAGCAAUGAUACAUAAUUAUACUAGACAGGCUAAAAACUGAUAGUGAAGAAAAAUAGGAUCAAAGGAUUGAAAGAAACUAUAAUUCAAACUCUGUCUAUGUGAGAAGGGUUCUGGAAAAACACCCAGAAAUUAAACAACACACAUAAGUACACAAAAUUUAUAGAAUGAAUAUCUGAAAAUGUUAUUUAAAAAUAUUUCAUUAUAUUUUUUCUAUAAAUUUUCCUCACAAUAGAAUGGUAAUUAAAACUUAAGACUGAAAACCAGUCAUAAAUCCAAGGUAAAAGGUAAUAGGAAACAAGCUAAGAAUAUUAAUGUGACUGAAGACUAUGACUAUGAUGUGAAGAAAAUAGGCUGUUCAAUUUCUGCCAGGAAGUUUUAUUGGUCUAAGUUUUGCCUUUGGCUAUGAAAUUAGUAAUGCAUGAUAAUUUCAGCUAUUGACUUUGACUGGUAAAUAUGCUUCACUUAUUCUUUGAGGGGAAGAAGAAGCAGCUGUCCUCUAAUAUUAAUUGUUUUCAGUUAUUCCAUAUCUGUGAAAUAAAGCCUAAGCUUUUCCACUCAUAAA